GGAGGUAUACCCAAGUUCGGCUGAAGGGAUCGGUCUUGAAAACCGACAGGCGGCGAGAGUCGCGCGGGGGUUCGAAU
rnacentral:tRNA from 4 species